CUACCGGGGUAUCUAAUCCCGUUUGCUCCCCUGGCUUUCGCGCCUCAGCGUCAGAAGAGGUCCAGCGCGUCGCUUUCGCCACCGGCGUUCCUUCCGAUAUCUACGCAUUUCACCGCUCCACCGGAAGUUCCACACGCCCCUACCUCCCUCGAGACGGCCAGUAUCAAAGGCACUUUUCCGGUUGAGCCGAAAGAUUUCACCCCUGACUUGACCGCCCGCCUACGCGCCCUUUAAGCCCAGUGAAUCCGAACAACGUUCGCACGGUUCGUCUUACCGCGGCUGCUGGCAC
rnacentral:rRNA from 1 species